CAGUAGCCGCGGUAAUACGAAGGGUGCAAGUGUUAAUCGGAAUUACUGGGCGUAAAGCGUGCGUAGGCGGUGAGUUAAGUCUGCUGUGAAAUCCCCGGGCUCAACCUGGGAAUGGCAGUGGAUACUGGCUCGCUAGAGUGUGUCAGAGGAUGGUGGAAUUCCCGGUGUAGCGGUGAAAUGCGUAGAGAUCGGGAGGAACAUCAGUGGCGAAGGCGGCCAUCUGGGACAACACUGACGCUGAGGCACGAAAGCGUGGGGAGCAAACAGGAUUAGAUACCCCAGUAGUCCCUGUCUCUUAUAA
rnacentral:rRNA from 1 species